UACGAAGGGGGCUAGCGUUGUUCGGAAUUACUGGGCGUAAAGCGCGCGUAGGCGGAUUAGUAAGUCGGAGUUGAAAUCGCAGGGCUCAACCUUGGAACUGCCUUUGAUACUGCUAGUCUGGAGUUCGAGAGAGGUGAGUGGAAUUCCGAGUGUAGAGGUGAAAUUCGUAGAUAUUCGGAGGAACACCAGUGGCGAAGGCGGCUCACUGGCUCGAUACUGACGCUGAGGUGCGAAAGCGUGGGGAGCAAACAGG
rnacentral:misc_RNA from 1 species